rnacentral:rRNA from 1 species
AGCAUGCAAGUCAAACGGGAUGUAGCAAUACAUCUAGUGGCGAACGGGUGAGUAACGCGUGGAUGAUCUACCUACGAGAUGGGGAUAACUAUUAGAAAUAGUAGCUAAUACCGAAUAAAGUCAAUUAAUUUGUUAAUUGAUGAAAGGAAGCCUUUAAAGCUUCGCUUGUAGAUGAGUCUGCGUCUUAUUAGUUAGUUGGUAGGGUAAAUGCCUACCAAGGCGAUGAUAAGUAACCGGCCUGAGAGGGUGAACGGUCACACUGGAACUGAGACACGGUCCAGACUCCUACGGGAGGCAGCAGCUAAGAAUCUUCCGCAAUGGGCGAAAGCCUGACGGAGCGACACUGCGUGAAUGAAGAAGGUCGAAAGAUUGUAAAAUUCUUUUAUAAAUGAGGAAUAAGCUUUGUAGGAAAUGACGAAGUGAUGACGUUAGUUUAUGAAUAAGCCCCGGCUAAUUACGUGCCAGCAGCCGCGGUAAUACG